AAAAAAAUUUAUGUGUACAGAGAACAAAAAAAAAAAAAAGUCUAUUUUCAGUUUUACUUUUGUAUAUAAACCUAAGAUGGCCUCGCUGGUAAAAAUAAGAAAAAAAAAAAGACAAAAGAGAAAAAAAGAAAAACAAGGAGCUUCAGUUCAUUUUUAUGGAUGCUGAAGAUUUUACACCUGUGCAUUUGUCAUGUGAGUUUUCUUUUCUUUUCCUUUUUUUCCCCCUAUAGUUUGAACACCAAUGGCAUUAUUUUCUCCACAGUUAAAGGAACAGGAGAGGAGCUGAGCUUCUAAAGUUCAAGCUUGGGGGGAGAGGGAUUUUUCUCCUCUUGGAGACAUUUCCCUUGGCUGGUGGAAUCUAAUUCCCCCAUCCCAUAUUUAGUGCAGGUUUUGUAAUUGUGGCAGCAGAGCAGCCCCUGCUCUGUCUGCAGCCCGGAGCCUUCCAGGGGUGGGGUUGGUUUUUUGGGAUUUUUUUUUGGCGUUUCUGGUUCCCUGUGCCCCUCUACCCAGGCAAAUUCUCCUUUUGAAUUCCAUGCUUCAGUCAGGAAUGUUGCAAAUUCAUCCAGGGAAUGACACGAAGCUGACUGGGAGGUUUAGGUUGGAUUUCAGGGAAAGUUCCACCCCCAGAGGCACUGCCCAGGCUCCCCAGGGAAUGCUGACAUUCCCAAGGCUGCCAGAGCUCCAGGGAUGUUGGGACAAAGCUCCCAGGGAUGCACAGGGUGGGAUUUUGAGAUGCCCUGUGCAAGGACUUUGCUGCUCGUGGGUCCCUCCCAGCUCAGAAUAUUCCACACUUGUGGGAUCCAGGAACUCCUGAGGGCCUGACCCCAUCAAAUCCCAGCUGGGGAAUGACUUGGGAGACAAGAUGUUCCAUUUUUGUGGGGUGGAGCCCCAAAUCAACAUCAGAUCCCAGCUGGGGAAUGACUUGUGGGACAAAGUGUUCCAUUUUUGUGGGGUGGAGCCCCAAAUCAACAUCAGAUCCCAGCUGGGGAAUGACUUGGGAGACAAGAUGUUCCAUUUUUGUGGAGUGGAGCCCCAAAUCAACAUCAAAUCCCAGCUGAGGAAUGACUUGUUGAGGAAUUCAUUGAGAAAUGAAUUUGAUUUGGAUGAGAUGUUCCAUUUUUAUGGAGUGGAGCCCCAAAUCAACAUAAAUCCCAGCUGAGGAAUGGCUUGUGGGGCAAGGUGUUCCAUUUUUGUGGGGUGGAGCCCCAAAUCCCAGCUGAGGAGUGACCUGUGGCACAAGAUGUUCCAUUUUUAUGGAGUGGAGCCUGAAAUCAACAUCAGAUCCCAGCUGAGGAGUGGCUUGUUGAGGAAUUCAUUGAGAAAUGAAUUUAAUUUGGACAAGAUGUUCCAUUUUUAUAGAGUGGAGCCCCAAAUCCCAGCUGAGGAGUGACCUGUAGCACGAGAUGUUCCAUUUUUGUGGGGUGGAGCCCCAAAAUCCCAGCUGAGGAAUGGCUUGUGGGGCAAGGUAUGUUCCCUGCUCAGUGUCAGCCUGAACCCCAAAAACCCCCACAUUGUGCCUCUUUUAGGGCUAGUGGUUCCAAAAUUUGGAAUUCUUUGGUUUCCCCAGAUUUUUUCCCCUAUUUAAUUCCCGGUUUCUUUUCUCGUUGUUUUUAAGUUGUGCAUGACAUAGGAAAUUUAAUUUUUUUUUUUUUUUUUUGGGUCAUUUGGGCUGAUCCGUUCUUCUUAAGGAGUGGAAUGUGUAAAUAGCUGGAAUGCAGAUUUUUUUUUUUUUUUUUUUUUUUUUCAGGAGAUUCUUUAAAGUCAGAGAAAGGGGGAGGGAAGGAAGUGAUUCUCUUGUGUCCCAAAGUCCAUGUCAGAGAGAGUAAAUAUUCCCUCUGGUGUGAAAAAUAUUUUUAUAACUGGUUGAAAGUGCAGGUAUUGAGUUUAUCAGGAAAAAGAGAGUUAAGGAAUACUAAAAUUAGCAGAUUCUUGUCUGAAUUUUUUCAUGUCCAAAAAAACUGUUGAUUGCAAAUAGUUGCUUCAAGCAUUGACAAGGGCCACCUUUUGCCUAUGAAGUCGUCUCAAAAAAAAAAAUAAAUAAAUCUUGCAUUGAUUUAAAAAAAAAAAGGAAAAAAAAACAGGAAAAAAAUUUAAAAAAAAACCAAGAAAAAAAAAGCAAAAAAAAAAAAACAAACCUUUAAUCCAAGUAGCAUUAGGUAUUGCUGUCUGAUCAGUCGUAUGGUUAUUUGAAAGGUUCACAUGAUGUGGCAUCAAAAAUUGUUUUUAGUGUUUUUACAGCAUCCCUCUGCCACUAAAUAGUUGACUUGAAUUUUGGAAAAAGGAAACUGUUGGUGUUUAUAUGUAUAUGUGUGUGUAUAUAUGUAUUUAUAGAUCCGUGUGUGUGAGUUCCAGGUGAGUUCAAUAGUUUUUUCCCAUGCAUGUGUAUUUCAUACAUAUCUGGCUGAUAUAUUCUAUUUCACCAUACACCGAUUUUAUAAUUUAUUAAAUGUCAGUUAAAAAAAAGAAGAAAAAAAAAAAGAAAUAAAAGGCUAGAAAAUGGGAAAGA